AUUGGUUUGUUAUUGUUAGUGGGCCGGGUUGUGAAAGGCAAACCCAAUCUAUUUCUCCAUCAUCUCUAACCUAAGGGACGGUUGGAAACUUAACACAGGAGGCCAUAAACAACCGUAAAGAAGGCAUAUGGUCAUGUCAUGUUGAAAGGGUAGAACAGAUAAUUCAAAUUGAUUUGUGGGAGAAUCGAUUUCACUCAGACGCAGAAACUAGGAAUAGCAGCUUCCAGUAAAAUCGCAUUUGCUU
rnacentral:lncRNA from 1 species